rnacentral:tRNA from 1 species
GCCGGACUAGCUCAACUGGGAGAGCAAUUGUUUUGUAAACAGUAGGUUAUAGGUUCGAGUCCUAUGUUCGGCU